rnacentral:RNase_P_RNA from 1 species
GCGAGUUGGCGUGUGACUUUCGGGUCCAAAUGUUGGAUCUGAGGAAACUCCGCCCUACACGUAGAAUUGCAGCACCUCAGGUGUAAAGUGAGAACUUUGGCAACGGAGCAGAAACGACACGUCCAAUUGGUGUUUUAACAGAUGAGGCAUCCUAAAAUGCUGAUCAGUCAAUUUGGAAGCGAUGAAACGGCCGACCUGCAAGUGGAAAGGGCAAACAGACGCUGAUGACCCUCUACAGGAGGCGCGGGUAGCCCGAUUAGCCGAAUGUCACAAAAUAAACAAAAGGCGGGUUAUGUCCAACACAC